UACGUAGGGUGCAAGCGUUGUCCGGAAUUAUUGGGCGUAAAGAGCUCGUAGGCGGUCUGUCGCGUCGAAUGUGAAAACCCGGGACUCAACUCCGGGCCUGCAUUCGAUACGGGCAGGCUAGAGUUCGGUAGGGGAGAUCGGAAUUCCUGGUGUAGCGGUGAAAUGCGCAGAUAUCAGGAGGAACACCGGUGGCGAAGGCGGAUCUCUGGGCCGAUACUGACGCUGAGGAGCGAAAGCGUGGGGAGCGAACAGG
rnacentral:rRNA from 1 species